AGCGCCUCGACAAGAGGAGCGGCAGACGGGUAAGUAACACGUGGGAAUCUACCCAUCCCUGCGGAACAACUCCGGGAAACUGGAGCUAAUACCGCAUACGCCCUACGGGGGAAAGAUUUAUCGGGGAUGGAUGAGCCCGCGUUGGAUUAGCUAGUUGGUGGGGUAAAGGCCUACCAAGGCGACGAUCCAUAGCUGGUCUGAGAGGAUGAUCAGCCACAUUGGGACUGAGACACGGCCCAAACUCCUACGGGAGGCAGCAGUGGGGAAUAUUGGACAAUGGGCGCAAGCCUGAUCCAGCCAUGCCGCGUGAGUGAUGAAGGCCUUAGGGUUGUAAAGCUCUUUCACCGAUGAAGAUAAUGACGGUAGUCGGAGAAGAAGCCCCGGCUAACUUCGUGCCAGCAGCCGCGGUAAUACGAAGGGGGCUAGCGUUGUUCGGAAUUACUGGGCGUAAAGCGCACGUAGGCGGAUAUUUAAGUCAGGGGUGAAAUCCCGCAGCUCAACUGCGGAACUGCCUUUGAUACUGGGUAUCUUGAGUAUGGAAGAGGUUAGUGGAAUUGCGAGUGUAGAGGUGAAAUUCGUAGAUAUUCGCAGGAACACCAGUGGCGAAGGCGGCUAACUGGUCCAUAACUGACGCUGAGGUGCGAAAGCGUGGGGAGCAAACAGGAUUAGAUACCCCUGGUAGUCCACGCCGGUAAACGAUGAAAUG
rnacentral:rRNA from 1 species